UGGAAAUUUACUCAUUAAGCAUUCAUGCUUAGAAACACAAGAUGAAAACAAAAACACAGAUUCGACGAGGCAUAUAUAUUCAUAUCCUAAUAUAUUAGCACAAGCAACUUUCCAUUGGAAUUUGAACAUUACAAAGAAGGAGGUCAUCUCUUCUUAAUUUCCUGUAAUUAACCUGGAAUUAAGAUGAUGCAGGCAAACUAUACGAGCGAUGGCAUGCAGUACAGUGGUAUAACCUCCAUUUUAGGUGCUUUGAAUCUUGAGGUUCUAAUGAUGAACAGUAUACCCAAGUUUAUAAGCGUAGUUGACAAGAUCAUCGAGCUCAACCAUGUCGAUUUGUCCAUCUUUGUCUGCAUCGCCAUGGCUGAGCCCACGGGCAGCUCUGUAACGAGAGGAAAAUGCUCCCAGCGGCAGCCAGCCUGCGAUUUAGUAAUUCAGAAGAGGAGAACGGAUGCAAGAGAGGAUAGUUAAUCCGAUCACAGCCUGUGUGAUUCUUUCUAGGAUAAUUUCGUGAGAAAAAAGAAAAAGAAAAAAGCAUCAGAGUUCAAAAUAGCCGUCACUAAUCAACACCAUGCAUGUCUUGGACUUGAAGUAUUCGGUAGAGCGCAGUACUACAUAUAUAUAUCACUUUUUUUGAAAACAGAUUAUCGUAAUAAAUGCUUCGAUGCUCCUCCCAAGAUUUAGGGCGAUGAUAAGUCCAUAAUCUGAAGCAAUAGCAUUGAUAAAGAAAGCUUACAUAUAUUAUCAGAAUUUUCUUCUUGAUUAUUAUUACAUACCAGUCAGGCACAAUGACACAGAGGGACAGCAUAUGGGGAGGCCUAUGAAACCAUGUUAUAUGACUACAUAAUUAUGAUACCCAAGUGCUUUUGAGCAAAAGCAGCCAGCAUAUCGAUUUCACUGUCAUCAAUAACACCGUUGCCAUUGGCGUCUGCUGCCUUUACCCCCCUCUUUCCCUUCCAACCAGCGAACCAUCCUCCAUUACCUCGGACGGCGUCAGAGAGUUCAUCCUUGCUUAUCUUGCCAUCUUUAUCAGCAUCAAGUGUUUUGACCCAAAUCCUGAACUGCGCCAUGGUCAUUUCACGUUUGCCACCGAAACUAAGAUUACGAUUCGUGCUUGCCAUUUUAGAGAUAAUGACAACUGAUGUGUAAGUAGUGUGCUUAUCUUUUAGAGAUUACAAACGUUUGUUGCAUACAGGUCUAUGAAGGCUUCUCAUUUUUAUACUACCUGAUCUCCCUCCCUCCACACUUUUUUUUUUUUUUUUUUUUACGUAUCCAUUGUCAAAGAAUCAAUUCAAUCUAAAAAUUUAAACUUUUAAAUAAAAUUAUAAAAUAUAAUUUAUAUUAUUUUCUAACACAUCAUCUCAAGUAAAUCUUGAAACUUACAUAGAUUCACAUUAUCUUGUAUUUAAAUUUUUAUCAAAUAAAUUAUUAUAUCAAAAUAUUAAUUCAACCUAAAAAUUUAAACUCUUUAGUGUCCUAUAUGAGUCUAUAUUAUCUAUAUUAUUCUAUAUUCUCUAAAAUGUGCAUCUUAAUUAAUUAUGGUUUCUAACAGAAUAAGAAUAUUUAUUAAAGUGAUCUGAGCGUGAAUUUGAAUAGCCUUAUAAAGAAAUAAAAAUCGAGCAUUUUUUUCUUGACCUGACGAGAAUAAUACUGUUGAUUAAUUAAUUUUAUGCGGUAAUUUAGAAAGAAGAAGAAGAGGUUAUUUAGUCCAUUGUAAACGUGACAUAGUUUUAAUUAAGUUGCGAGAUAAAUAUCUCCUCCAAUUCCCUACUCUCUUCUUAAUCACUUUGAGAUUAUAACCUGAUAUUCUUUCCCAUCCUUAAUUUUAUACUUCAAGAACAAGAGAUGUUUAUCCUGUUGGGAAUAAUUGUCGGAAGUGAUUCAUGACUCGCUAGACAUCUUACUUUAUUGAUUGGCUUGAUUACACAAUUAAAUAUUUUGCGUAAUAGUAUUCGGUCACCGUCCCCUGUCUGUCGCAGAACACGCAUGUGCAGUGCUCAUCUCUUCAGGCCAACAUGUUUUUCAUGGCUAUAUAUUGGCACUGCUUUAAUUAUGAAACUUUUCAUAAAGGUAUUAACACUAAAACAAAGCUAUAAACAUGACAUAUUAGUUCUUUUAAUCCUGAUAUUUUUUUUCAAUUAUGGAUCUGUUAGCUUUCUUUUUUGUAUUUAUUUUUUGUUUUUAUGAUUUUGUUUUCUUUUCUUUUAUAUAUUUUAUUUUUUGUUAUUUUCUGGUUAGUCUUUUUAAUAUAUUAAUUUCUUUUAAAGAAAAAAAAACAUGUUCCUAUUCAUAAACAAUAACAGGCGACUUCGAGUAACAGGUUGUUUUUUUUUGAAUCAAUGGUGGGAGAAAUGUUACAUGGCUGUUAUUCGUAUUCGUUUUUGAGUAAAGGAGACCUUAGUUGAAUAAAUUCUGUGCCUGGGUAUUUUCACUUUUAGAAUCGUUGGAAUUACUAAUUUCAAAAGCGCUCCAGUCUUGGGGGACUCGUAAAUUACACAUUCCUCCCAGGUCUCUUCCUCAACAUGUGGAUAGAGUCGAAUAUUUUUAUAACAUGCUGCAGUACGUCUUGGAAUCGAAGCCUUCAUGAUGAAGAAUCCCGUGCUUUGCAUGGACUGGUCACAAACACAAUUUGAUAGGAAGGGCAUCACAAUCUGGUCCUAGUAUCUGGUACUACACCUGUGGAUUGAAGUGUCGAGGAAAAUAGGACCAUUAUAUAUGUAAAGAAACUUGAGAUUCUGAUUCUAUUAAUUACAAAUCUUUAACUAUACAGGAUGCCAUCUUGCCUUUAGAAGUAUGUGAAACACGAGCCAAAAGUAUAAACGAAAAUUUACCGUACUAUAUCAAUUAAUUAAUUCGUUAGAAAUUUUAGAUAAAUCAGUUACCACGAUCAAGGAUAAAAAAACUUAAAGAUAUAUUUAAUAAGUUUAUUUAAAAUAUUUGGGUAAUGAUGAAUUUUAAAAAGGUUAUUAACAAGUAAUAAUUAUAAUUUAUCUAAUUUAAUUUACAUACAAAAAGGGUUGAUUUAUCUAUUUCAUGAGAUAGGGGUUUGAUUUCUAUAGCCUUAGUAUCUCAAUACAAGUUAUCAUUAUAUCAAGUUUAUUUACAAAUUUGAAUUUAUCUUUGUUAGCAAGGAUCAAUUUAAUUGAGUUUCUGAAUCUUUAUAUGCACAUUGUUCGGAUUAGUUGGUAAUAGAACAAGACUCUAAAUUCAUAUUAUAUCCCUUUAUUUUUUUUAGUUUUAAUGUUAUUUCAUCGUUGUCAUUAUCUAGAAUCUAAUUGCAAUAAAAGUUUUUUUAAAAAAAGAAAAAGAUUAUUUGAGACCUGAUUGUGUGCAAUUAAAGAAAUAAAUAAAAAAAGAUCAAACAAAUCUUAUAAGGGGAAAAUUAGGGUUUAGGCCGCAAUUUUGUUUUAUCAAAUAUUAGAUUCAACAACUCAAAUAUGAAAAUUCUUGAUUCUUGAGAUAUCUGAGUACUAUAUCUUGAUUAUGAGAUUAUUAAUUUAGACAUAUUUUAUUGGGUUAUUUCUUAAAAUUUUAAAAAAAUCAUAAGUAGCUUUAAGUCAAAAAAAAUUCUUUUAUUGUUGAUUUUGGGUUUGCCACACAAAAAUCGAUACAAAAAUAGUGUUUUUGUGUAACAUUUCCAGGAUUAAAAUUUUAGAUUUUUUUUGAAAAUAUUAUAAUGAAUUUAAAUAGGUAUUGAAUUGGAUAGAAUGAUUGUAGACCUCUAGUUUAAAUAGUGGUAAAACUUGAUAAAAAAAAAAUAAGAUUAUAUAUAUACACACACAUGGGAGAGUAGUUUCAUUAAAAGAUAUUUGUGAAAUAUAAGCAAAUUUAGUGAAUUUACGGUAUAAGUUAUAUUGGUAACCAAAAAGUUUGUUUAAAAUACCCAAAAAACUAUGCCUAACGGAAAAACUAAAAAUAAACACAAAGAUUUCAUCUCCCUCUAUAUUUAAUGAGGCCGACUGUCAUGGGAGAAGGAUUAAGCUGUAUUCCUCUCAUUUUCUUGUAUUUCUACUUAAAGCUUCUCUAAAAUAAGGGUUUCGAGGGGAUAUUAUAAGGGUGAUUAGUAAGAGAUAAACACUUUGAUACAAGAUUUGGAAGGGUUUAAGGAGAGGGAAAGUUCGGAGUUACUAGGAAUCUUGGUAAAGGAAGAAAAACUUUGUAAACACUCUAUCAUCUUUAUUCAUUACAUAUUACACACAAUCUUUAAGGCAACACUCCUUUUAUAUCUUUUCUAACUUAAGUAUUGGAGGGUGUUUUACCCAACACAGAGGACUUGUUUUAUAGGAGUUCACGGAUCUUCAACCAAGCUUCUCUUCACCAGCUCCCAAAACUCAUCAAUAUGCCAUGGAAAAGCCUAGAUAUCUUUUGAAGUUUGAUCUUGAUUUAGUCAAACAAUGUAUAAGAAUAUAACUCUCAUUCUAUUGGUUAUACAUACCAGGAAAGAAAUCAAGUCAAAUAGUUAAUCCAACAGAAACAAGGACAUGUGUAGUCGAUAAUCUCUUAACAAAUUCAGCUUUUAACGAUGCCUUAAUCAACUCGGUUCUCAAAUGUAUUUUUUAAUUUCUUUCUCUUUAGUUUAUGUGCUAGAAGUAGAGACAGAGUAAGUGUUUGUUUUUGUAUUAUAAUUUAUUUUUAAAUUGUUUUUUUUGUUUUGAAAAAGUAUUAGAUUAGUUUUUUAUAUGUUUUUAAAUGAUUUUGAUAUGUUGAUAUUAAAAAUAAAAAAAUAUUUUUAUAUAUUUUUAAUUAAAAAUUAUUUAGUUUUGGUUUACCACAAGACUAUUGAAUUGAUAAUAUAUAAAAAUAUAGUAGUGAAAUUAUGGAUGAGUAUUAUUUUUUUAUUAAUAUAAAAAUUUAAAUUACUUGUAUAUAUUAUAAUUAAUUUUAUAAAUUUUAAAAUUAAUGAUUAUAUAAAUUUUUUGUUCCCUGAGAUUUUUCUAAGAAUAACAUGUGAUUUUUAUGGAUAUGGAUGAGUAAUAUUGAUUAUUAACACGACGACUGGUUUUUUUUUUUUUUUUUUCUUUUCUGUACGUUGAUGAUGAUGACACCAAACAUUUAAUAUUUGCAAGUGGCCGGAGGAAACUCGACUAUGGUCUUUGGGGUCUGAUACAUCUAUAGAUUAUUUUUAACUUUUGAUGGGUAAUAUUUUUUUUUUUCAUUUUUUAUGAGGCAAUUUUUUCCACCCUCCAAUAAUUUUAACUUUUGGUGGGCAAUAUCGGAUUUUUAUUAUGUCAGCAUUAGUUUAUAAAAUGUUAUUCACUAGAUUGAUCUCUAUGAUCUAUUUAUUGGAAAAUUAGUUUAAUUUGUUUUUAUAUUGUAUAUCUAGUUUGAAUAUGUUUAAAUAAGUUUAAGUUUAAUUAUGAUAAAUUAUUAUUUUUCAUUCUUUCCGAGGUGACCAAGGCAUCGUUAAAAGCUGAAUUUGUUAAGAGAUCGAUAAAAUAAAUUUAACACAAUAAAAUAAAUUGUUGUUUCAUCAUCAAAAAUAUUUUUUUAAUAAAGUAGGUGGGUAUGAGUUCCCAAGGUAUUUGAAUAAUUUUGUAUGGAAAUUGGGGUGUUGGAAAGAUCGAUGUAUUAAAGAAUGAUCUAAAAUAUAAGCAUAGAUAUUGAAAAGAAUUGUUUACUUGAAACUGAAGUGCAAGAUGGUUUUAAACCUGGAAAUUUACUCAUUAAGCAUUCAUGCUUAGAAACACAAGAUGAAAACAAAAACACAGAUUCGACGAGGCAUAUAUAUUCAUAUCCUAAUAUAUUAGCACAAGCAACUUUCCAUUGGAAUUUGAACAUUACAAAGAAGGAGGUCAUCUCUUCUUAAUUUCCUGUAAUUAACCUGGAAUUAAGAUGAUGCAGGCAAACUAUACGAGCGAUGGCAUGCAGUACAGUGGUAUAACUUCAUUUUAGGUGCUUUGAAUCUUGAGGUUUAACAGUAUACCCAAGUUUAUAAGCGUAGUUGACAAGAUCAUUGAGCUCAACCAUGUCGAUUUGUCCAUCUUUGUCUGCAUCGCCAUGGCUG
rnacentral:lncRNA from 1 species